UACGUAGGGGGCAAGCGUUAUCCGGAUUUACUGGGUGUAAAGGGAGCGCAGGCGGCGUGGCAAGUCAGAUGUGAAAACCCGGGGCCCAACCCCGGGAGUGCAUUUGAAACUGCCAUGCUGGAGUGCCGGAGAGGUAAGCGGAAUUCCUAGUGUAGCGGUGAAAUGCGUAGAGAUAUGGAGGAACACCAGUGGCGAAGGCGGCUUCCUGGUCUGCAACUGACACUGAGGCGCGAAAGCGUGGGGAGCAAACAGG
rnacentral:rRNA from 1 species